UACGUAGGGUGCAAGCGUUGUCCGGAAUUAUUGGGCGUAAAGAGCUCGUAGGCGGGUUUGUUGCGUCGGCUGUGAAAUCCCGAGGCUCAACCUCGGGUCUGCAGUCGAUACGAGCAAACUAGAGUGUUGCAGGGGAGACUGGAAUUCCUGGUGUAGCGGUGGAAAUGCGCAGAUAUCAGGAGGAACACCGGGUGGCGAAGGCGGUUCUCUGGGCAUGUCCUGACGCUGGAGGAGCGAAAAGUGUGGGGAGCGAACAGG
rnacentral:rRNA from 1 species